GCCUGGGUGGCUUAGUCGGUGAAGCGUCUGACUCUCAGUUUCGGCUCAGGUCAUGAUCGCAGGGUCAUGGGAUCGAGCCCCAUGUCCGGCU
rnacentral:tRNA from 1 species